AACGAACGCUGGCGGCGUGCCUAACACAUGCAAGUCGUGCGAGAAAGUUCCUUCGGGAGCGAGUAAAGCGGCGCACGGGUGAGUAACACGUAGGUAACCUGCCCCCAGUCUGGAACAACUAGAGGAAACUCUAGCUAAUGCCGGAUGAGACCACGAUCCCUUCGGGGGUUGCGGCCAAAGAUGGCCUCUACUUGUAAGCUAUCGCUGAGGGAUGGGCCUGCGGGCCAUUAGCUUGUUGGUGAGGUAACGGCUCACCAAGGCUGUGAUGGCUAGCUGGUCUGAGAGGAUGACCAGCCACACUGGGACUGAGACACGGCCCCAGACUCCUACGGGAGGCAGCAGUGGGGAAUAUUGCGCAAUGGGCGAAAGCCUGACGCAGCGACGCCGCGUGGGUGA
rnacentral:rRNA from 1 species